CCAUCAAUGUUCAGGGAUAAGAAUGCCUUGUGAAACAAUAAUUACAUUAAUCUAAAUUGGUGUACCCCAAAACUGUUGCAUCCCAAAACUGUU